rnacentral:rRNA from 1 species
GACAGAGGGUGCAAACGUUGUUCGGAAUUACUGGGCGUAAAGCGCGUGUAGGCUGCUAGCGCAAGUCGGGUGUGAAAGCCCUGGGCUCAACCUAGGAAGUGCACUCGAAACUGCGCAGCUUGAAGUCUGGAGAGGAAGGCGGAAUUCUCGGUGUAGAGGUGAAAUUCGUAGAUAUCGAGAGGAACACCGGUGGCGAAGGCGGCCUUCUGGACAGCACUUGACGCUGAGACGCGAAAGCGUGGGGAGCAAACAGG